rfam:Tetraodon nigroviridis chromosome 5 SCAF14581, whole genome shotgun sequence.
UGUCCGUCACGAAUCUUUUUGCGGUCUGGGCUUGCUGUGUAUACACGAGUGCGGGAAGCCCUUACCCCAAAAAGCAUUUGUGGAGGAUG